ensembl:lincRNA
AGGGAGCAAAGGUUCUUGCUGAGACGGAGGAAGGAAAUAAUGGUUCUAUCUUUUACUGGCGAUUACAUCUGGCCCUCAGAGCUGAGGGAAUACAGAAGCAGGUUGAGUACAAGAUAAAUGAUGAAGGAAAGGAGACAACAGAAUCCCCACAGGAUCCACACUGGGCAUCCAUGCCCCUUAGUUGGGUGACCAUGGAUGGAGUGUAUGACAUGCAUGGGUCUGUCUGGCCCAGAAGAAUCAAAUCAAGGUAUGCAGUCUUUGCAGCACACCCUCCGAUAGUAUCCAAGAGGGACCCAGAUGCUGCGAUGACGGAGCCUUCACAUCACCCACCAGGAUAGCCGAGAAUGACUGUGAAUACCAGGACUCUCUCUGGAGCCCAAUCUCCCCGUGCCAAACCACUGAUACUGCUGCCAGCACCCCAGAAGUUUGUGGAGGGCAGAGGAGCCAUGAAGUUCCACCAGUGGGGCUUUUAUAGGAACCACUCCACUCCUGGCUUAGAUACCAAAGAAACCUCUGGUCAAAGUCUUUUCAAAGAACUGCCAACUGAAAUCGGGGUCUCCCGUGAGCAUGCGGCCCACAGUACUGUUGUCAUGUCCCUUUGACAUCCACUAGACUCCAAGUGCCUGGUCUCUCUUCAUCCCACCACUGAGGGGAUACACAGAAGCCAAUUCCAACAUGGAGACUGCAACAUGAAUGCGCAGGCAGCAGUGAGCACACAGGACUCUCCUGUUCACGCAGGCCCACCUAGGUGCAGAGCCAGGCCAUGAGGGCUGCUCACAGUGUGCUCCAGGUCACCUGAAACUAUCAGGCACUUUCUCUGAUAAGCACUAUAGGACUGUGCUGUGCUAUCUGUCUGUGUGUUGUUCAUGUCUUAAAGGAUAAAACUACAUUUCUAGGCUAAAUUACGUGUAGUCUACUACAGCCUGACCCCAGAAUCUACCAAAGACCGCCAUUCCAGGGACAAUCACAAAGACGUCAUCCAAGCUGACCUACACAACUAAUUUAUAUUUCCUAUAGCCUGAUUUUGUACUUGGUAUUUAUAUUAGGGAUUAUAAUGUUCGUGUUUCCUUUAA